GGGGAAAAAUUAAUAAAAAAAAAAUAAUAAAAAAAUUUUUAAGGUAUAUUUUAAUGGGGGUUAGAGUAUAUAUAUAGGAAAAAUUUUAAAAUUUAUAGUGAAAUAGUAUUGUAAGAGAAUUUUGAAAUAAGUAUAAAAAUUAUAAAAAAGUAAAUUUAAUUUAUUGUAUCUUGUGUAUCAGAGUUUAUUAAUAAAAUUUUCUAAAUAUAAAUUUCUCGAAUUUAAAAGAGUUAAUUAAUUAUAAAAGUUAAUGUAGAAUAAUUAUUUUUAAUAAUUAAUUAGAAAUGAAAUGUUAAUCGUUUUUAAAAAUAUCUAGUUUUUUUAGAAAAAAAUUUAAUUUUAAAUAUUAUAUUUUAAAAUUUUAUUAAUAAAAAUUUUAAUAAUUAAUAUUAAAUAUUUUAAGGGAUAAGCUUUAAAAUAAAUUUUUAUAAUUAAUAAUAAUAAAAAAAAUUAAAAUUUUAAAAUUUAAAUUGUUAAAUAAAUUAUAAUUUUUUACAAAUAAUUUAAUUUUAAUUAAAAUUUAAUAUAAAAUUUAAAUUUUUAUAAAAAAAUAUAUUUUAAUAAGAUAAAAUUAAAUAUAAUGAUAAAAUUAGUAUAUAAAAAUUAUAAAAAUAAUGAUUUAUUAAAAAUUAAUUAAAGGAAUUCGGCAAAAUUAUAUAUUCACUUGUUUAUCAAAAACAUGUCUUUUUGGAAAUAAUUUAAAGUCUAAUCUGCCCACUGAUAAAUAUAUUAAAGGGCUGCAGUAUUUUGACUGUACAAAGGUAGCAUAAUCAUUAGUCUCUUAAUUGGUGACUUGUAUGAAAGAUUGGAUGAAAUAUAAACUGUCUCUAAUUAAUUUAUAAAAUUUAAUUUUUUAGUAAAAAAGCUAAAAUAAUUUUAAAAGACGAGAAGACCCUAUAGAGUUUUAUAAUUUAUUUGAUUAUUAUUAAUAUGUAAAUUUUAAAAUUAAAAUUAAAUAAAUUAUUUUGUUGGGGUGACAGAAAAAUUAAAUUAACUUUUUUAAAUAAUUAACAUUAAUUUAUGAAUAAAUGAUCCAUUAAUAUUGAUUAAAAGAAAAAAUUACCUUAGGGAUAACAGCGUAAUUUUUUUUUUUAGUUCAAAUAGGAAAAAAAGUUUGCGACCUCGAUGUUGGAUUAAGAUAAAAUUUAAAUGCAAAAGUUUAAAAUUUUGAUCUGUUCGAUCAUUAAAAUCUUACAUGAUCUGAGUUCAAACCGGUGUGAGCCAGGUUGGUUUCUAUCUUUAAAUAAAAAUAAUAUUUUAGUACGAAAGGAUCAAAUAUUAAAAAUAAUUUUAUAAAAAUGAAUAUUAUUAAUAAUAUU
rnacentral:rRNA from 1 species